rnacentral:rRNA from 2 species
UACGUAGGGAGCAAGCGUUGUCCGGAAUUACUGGGUGUAAAGGGAGCGUAGGCGGGAUGGCAAGUAGAAUGUUAAAUCCAUCGGCUCAACCGGUGGCUGCGUUCUAAACUGCCGUUCUUGAGUGAAGUAGAGGCAGGCGGAAUUCCUAGUGUAGCGGUGAAAUGCGUAGAUAUUAGGAGGAACACCAGUGGCGAAGGCGGCCUGCUGGGCUUUAACUGACGCUGAGGCUCGAAAGCGUGGGGAGCAAACAGG